CAAAGGCUGUGCAUCAGUUACAUACCUGCUUGGAGUCACAGUGGAUUCCAUAAGCCCCUGGCAGCCACACCAAGAACUGUUAGCGGAACAGAUGCAGAGCUAGAAUCUUCCAUCUAUUUGGGAAAUGUUUUAGAUGGUCGAAAGGUCUUUCCUGAGCCAGAACCCGCAGACGCCGUGCUAAAUUGCAGCUUUUGCCGAACCUCAUCCGCUAUUACAGUGUGC